GCUGCAGUUAACGCAAUAAGUUCUCCGCCUGGGGAGUAUGCACGCAAGUGUGAAACUCAAAGGAAUUGACGGGGGCCCGCACAAGCGGUGGAGUAUGUGGUUUAAUUCGAAGCAACGCGAAGAACCUUACCAGGCCUUGACAUGGAUAUAAAUGUUCUAGAGAUAGAAAGAUAGCUAUAUAUCACACAGGUGGUGCAUGGUUGUCGUCAGCUCGUGUCGUGAGAUGUUGGGUUAAGUCCCGCAACGAGCGCAACCCUUGUCUUCUGUUACCAGCAUUAGGUUGGGGACUCAGGAGAGACUGCCGGUGACAAACCGGAGGAAGGUGGUGAUGACGUCAAAUCAUCAUGCCCCUUAUGGCCUGGGCUACACACGUACUACAAUGGCGCCUACAAAGAGCAGCGACACCGCGAGGUGGAGCGAAUCUCAUAAAGGGCGUCUCAGUUCGGAUUGAAGUCUGCAACUCGACUUCAUGAAGUCGGAAUCGCUAGUAAUCGCAGAUCAGCAUGCUGCGGUGAAUACGUUCUCGGGUCUUGUACACACCGCCCGUC
rnacentral:rRNA from 1 species